GAUGAACGCUGGCGGCGUGCCUAAUACAUGCAAGUCGAGCGAACAGAUGAGGAGCUUGCUCCUCUGACGUUAGCGGCGGACGGGUGAUUAACACGACGAUAACCUACCUAUCAGACUGGCAUAACUUCCGCAUACCGGAGCUAAUACCGGAUAAUAUAUUGAACCGCAUGGUUCAAUAGUGAAAGACGGUUUUGCUGUCACUUAUAGAUGGAUCCGCGCCGCAUUAGCUUGUUGGUAAGGUAACGGCUUACCAAGGCAACGAUGCGUAGCCGACCUGAGAGGGUGAUCGGCCACACUAGAACUAAGACACGGACGAGACUCCUACGGGGGGAAGCAGUAGGGAAUCUUCCGCAAUGGGGGAAAGCCGGACGGAGCAACGCCGCGUGAGUGAUGAAGGUCUUCGGAUCGUAAAACUCUGUUAUUAGGGAAGAACAAAUGUGUAAGUGACUAUGCACGUGUUGACGGUACCUAAUCAGAAAGCCACGGCUAACUACGUG
rnacentral:rRNA from 1 species